GAGCUCGAGUACCAUGUUUUUUUAAUCCACCCUGGCCUGCUGACAUGUGAGGUACACAGCCCUAAAAACACACUAUUAUCUCUCACUUCUCACUCUCACCUACCCAGAACACACUCUCACUCUCACUUACACCUAAACAUACAAACCCCAAACCCUCACACCAUCGGCGGCAGAAAACCAGUCGGCGUCAGAAGACUUUCGUCGGCGGCGACCUCUCAGCUCUCUCACUGUCUUAAGAGACUGAAACGACGUCGUUGUGAUCUGUUUCGCGUAUCGAUGAUGGUCGGGGGAGUGGAAUCGUGGUCUCCGUCGCCGUCGCCGCCUGAGGGAAGAGGGGAAGGGAAAGCGGUGGUUGUUGGAGGAGCGAUGGUAAUGGACUUUCCGUUGGAUGACAGUGGUGCGACGGCGUUUUCGUCCUCCUCUUCUUCUUCGCCCUUUCUCCACCCAAAUUGCCUCGCAGGCUUCGCCGGAGACUCUCGGAGUCUAAGUCUCCGCAGAACUGUACUGUCGAAGAUAUCGAAGCGAAGCUCCGCCACGCCGAUCUUCGCCGCCAGCAAUGCGAUGGGAAAUUGUCAAACAAGGCUCGAGCAAAGCCCAGAAGCCCAUCACGGUCCUCAUCUAAUGAGGAAGAUCUUGGUUAGCGCCUUGAAGCGAAGCUCCAAGCUGCUGAGCAGAAGAGUGAUGAUAUAUCUUUGGAUGGACUAGAGCAAGAACUGGAAGAAUGCAAAAAUGACGAUGUAGUUGCAAACAUACUAUUUGAAGGUACAAAAUUAAGGGAGUAUACAAAGGGGGUUGAGAACAAUUUACGGAAAGUUGAAUUGGACUCGAUUCAGGAUUACAUAAAAGAAAGCGAUAAUUUAGUGUCGCUUCAUGAUCAAAUUCGUGAAUGUGAUAGAAUCUUGUCACAGAUGGAAACUCUCCUCAGUGGAUUUCAAGUUGAAAUUGGUUCCAUAAGUUCAGACAUAAAAGUCCUCCAAGAGAAGUCUAUGGAUAUGGGCCUGAAGCUUAAGAAUCGUAAGGUAUCAUUGUUUGUAUGAGUAGCUCCGCUUCAUUGUUUGUUUGGAGUUUAAAUUUUGAGAACCACAGAAACAUGCUUGUAUAUCUAUUAGAUGUUAAUGACCACUAGUUAGUAAAACAAAAACAUCAGAAAAAUUGUAUUUGUUUGAAGUUCCUCUUGGGGGUUAUAUGUGCUUUUUCAAUGAUAUUUUGUGGCAACAAUUUCUCAGCAGGGGAUAAAGCUAGCUGAGUAAUGAUUCUUCAAUUGGUGAUUUGUGAUAUGACCUAGUUGGAUUGCAUUCCUUGUCUUUUUCAAUGACAAGUUUCUUUCUCUUUUAGAUUUAUGCAGUUUUUGUAAUUGAUUGUCUACACCAGUAUAUCUCCUGUAUACUUGGGUGACUCUUUUUUCUGAUUUAUAUAAUCUUAUUACUUAUCAAAAAAGAAAGGGUACCAUUUUUGAAUUAUUAUUGAGCUGUUUGUUUUUGUGCUGUGAUAACAUUUUACUUCUUUUUGGAGUUAAAAGAACACAACCGAAAAAAGUGUGAAAAUGUGGGGAAAAACUUUUUCGAAGUUUUUCUAUCUGAACAAUUUUCCUGGAAGUGGGCCAUUUGAGUAAUGCCAAAGUGACAUCUCUAAAUUAUUGUUCUAUAAACCUUUCCGUUUUUCUUAUGAUUGUUCUAUGUUCUAUAAACAUUCGGCAGAAUCAAAAUUGGCAAAGUUUGUCGAAGACAUUAUAGUCCCUCCAAGGAUGGUUGACAUAGUCGUUGACGGAGAGGUA